AUCGUGCAAAGGUAGCAUAAUAAAUAGUUUUUUAAUUGGGAACUGGAAUGAAAGGUCGAACGAGAAAAAAUCUGUCUCAAUUUAAUUUUAAUUAGAAUUUUAUUUUUAAGUUAAAAAGCUUAAAUAUUUUUAAAAGACGAGAAGACCCUAUAGAGUUUUAUAUUUUUAUUUUUUUUUUUUAGUUUAAGGAUUUAAUUUUAGAAUAAAUUUAAAAAUAUUUAAUUGGGGCGAUUAAAAAAUUAGAUAAACUUUUUUUAUUUUUAAACAUUGAUUUAUGAUUAAAUGAUCCAUUAUUUAUGAUUAUAAGAUUAAAUUACCUUAGGGAUAACAGCGUAAUUUUUUUUGAGAGUUCUUAUCGAAAGAAAAGUUU
rnacentral:rRNA from 1 species